rnacentral:rRNA from 1 species
GAUGAACGCUGGCGGCGUGCCUAAUACAUGCAAGUCGAGCGAACGGACGAGAAGCUUGCUUCUCUGAUGUUAGCGGCGGACGGGUGAGUAACACGUGGAUAACCUACCUAUAAGACUGGGAUAACUUCGGGAAACCGGAGCUAAUACCGGAGAAUAUUUUGAACCGCAUGGUUCAAAAGUGAAAGACGGUCUUGCAGUCACUUAUAGAUGGAUCCGCGCUGCAUUAGCUAGUUGGUAAGGUAACGGCUUACCAAGGCAACGAUGCAUAGCCGACCUGAGAGGGUGAUCGGCCACCCUGGAACUGAGACACGGUCCAGACUCCUACGGGAGGAAGCAGUAGGGAAUCUUCCGCAAUGGGCGAAAGCGUGACGGAGCAACGCCGCGUGAGUGAUGAAGGUCUUCGGAUCGUAAAACUCUGUUAUUAGGGAAGAACAUAUGUGUAAGUAGCUGUGCACAUCUUGACGGUACCUAAUCAGAAAGCCACGGCUAACUACGUG